GAUGAACGCUGACGGCAUGCUUAACACAUGCAAGUCAACCUGAACUUCGGUUUGGGUGGCGGACGGGCGAGUAACGCGUAAAGAACUUACAUCACAGCUAGGGACAACAUUUGGAAACGAAUGCUAAUACCUGAUAUUAUAAUUAUAUGUCAUCGUUCAUUUUUCAUAGCUAUAUGUGCUGUGGGAGGGCUUUGCGUCACAUUAGCUAGUCGGAGAGGUAUCAGCUCACAAGGGCGAGGAUGGGUAGCCGGCCUGAGAGGGUGAUCGGCAACAAGGGGAUGGGGACACGGCCCUUAUCCCUACGGGAGGAAGCAGGGGGGAAUAUGGGAAAAUGGACCGAGAGUCUGAUAGAGCCAUUCUGUGUGGAAGAUGAAGUUUUUCGGAAUGUAAAGUGCUUUCAGUUGGGAAGAAAAAAAUGACGGUACCAACAGAAGAAGUGACGGCUAACUACGUG
rnacentral:rRNA from 1 species